rnacentral:sRNA from 1 species
AACCUUAUAUCAGUAAUGUUACACUAGCAUGGUAAAAAAUUAUUCUUUGGAGUAAAAAAUGAGCGACAAAAUUAUUCAUUUGAGUGAC